rnacentral:rRNA from 1 species
GGUUAAGCGACUAAGCGUACACGGUGGAUGCCCUGGCAGUCAGAGGCGAUGAAGGACGUGCUAAUCUGCGAUAAGCGUCGGUAAGGUGAUAUGAACCGUUAUAACCGGCGAUUUCCGAAUGGGGAAACCCAGUGUGAUUCGUCACACUAUCAUUAACUGAAUCCAUAGGUUAAUGAGGCGAACCGGGGGAACUGAAACAUCUAAGUACCCCGAGGAAAAGAAAUCAACCGAGAUUCCCCCAGUAGCGGCGAGCGAACGGGGAGGAGCCCAGAGCCUGAAUCAGUGUGUGUGUUAGUGGAAGCGUCUGGAAAGGCGCGCGAUACAGGGUGACAGCCCCGUACACAAAAAUGCACAUACUGUGAGCUCGAUGAGUAGGGCGGGACACGUGGUAUCCUGUCUGAAUAUGGGGGGACCAUCCUCCAAGGCUAAAUACUCCUGACUGACCGAUAGUGAACCAGUACCGUGAGGGAAAGGCGAAAAGAACCCCGGCGAGGGGAGUGAAAAAGAACCUGAAACCGUGUACGUACAAGCAGUGGGAGCCUCUUUUAUGGGGUGACUGCGUACCUUUUGUAUAAUGGGUCAGCGACUUAUAUUCUGUAGCAAGGUUAACCGAAUAGGGGAGCCGAAGGGAAACCGAGUCUUAACUGGGCGUUAAGUUGCAGGGUAUAGACCCGAAACCCGGUGAUCUAGCCAUGGGCAGGUUGAAGGUUGGGUAACACUAACUGGAGGACCGAACCGACUAAUGUUGAAAAAUUAGCGGAUGACUUGUGGCUGGGGGUGAAAGGCCAAUCAAACCGGGAGAUAGCUGGUUCUCCCCGAAAGCUAUUUAGGUAGCGCCUCGUGAAUUCAUCUCCGGGGGUAGAGCACUGUUUCGGCAAGGGGGUCAUCCCGACUUACCAACCCGAUGCAAACUGCGAAUACCGGAGAAUGUUAUCACGGGAGACACACGGCGGGUGCUAACGUCCGUCGUGAAGAGGGAAACAACCCAGACCGCCAGCUAAGGUCCCAAAGUCAUGGUUAAGUGGGAAACGAUGUGGGAAGGCCCAGACAGCCAGGAUGUUGGCUUAGAAGCAGCCAUCAUUUAAAGAAAGCGUAAUAGCUCACUGGUCGAGUCGGCCUGCGCGGAAGAUGUAACGGGGCUAAACCAUGCACCGAAGCUGCGGCAGCGACACUGUGUGUUGUUGGGUAGGGGAGCGUUCUGUAAGCCUGUGAAGGUGUGCUGUGAGGCAUGCUGGAGGUAUCAGAAGUGCGAAUGCUGACAUAAGUAACGAUAAAGCGGGUGAAAAGCCCGCUCGCCGGAAGACCAAGGGUUCCUGUCCAACGUUAAUCGGGGCAGGGUGAGUCGACCCCUAAGGCGAGGCCGAAAGGCGUAGUCGAUGGGAAACAGGUUAAUAUUCCUGUACUUGGUGUUACUGCGAAGGGGGGACGGAGAAGGCUAUGUUGGCCGGGCGACGGUUGUCCCGGUUUAAGCGUGUAGGCUGGUUUUCCAGGCAAAUCCGGAAAAUCAAGGCUGAGGCGUGAUGACGAGGCACUACGGUGCUGAAGCAACAAAUGCCCUGCUUCCAGGAAAAGCCUCUAAGCAUCAGGUAACAUCAAAUCGUACCCCAAACCGACACAGGUGGUCAGGUAGAGAAUACCAAGGCGCUUGAGAGAACUCGGGUGAAGGAACUAGGCAAAAUGGUGCCGUAACUUCGGGAGAAGGCACGCUGAUAUGUAGCGUGAAGUCCCUCGCGGAUGGAGCUGAAAUCAGUCGAAGAUACCAGCUGGCUGCAACUGUUUAUUAAAAACACAGCACUGUGCAAACACGAAAGUGGACGUAUACGGUGUGACGCCUGCCCGGUGCCGGAAGGUUAAUUGAUGGGGUCAGCGCAAGCGAAGCUCUUGAUCGAAGCCCCGGUAAACGGCGGCCGUAACUAUAACGGUCCUAAGGUAGCGAAAUUCCUUGUCGGGUAAGUUCCGACCUGCACGAAUGGCGUAAUGAUGGCCAGGCUGUCUCCACCCGAGACUCAGUGAAAUUGAACUCGCUGUGAAGAUGCAGUGUACCCGCGGCAAGACGGAAAGACCCCGUGAACCUUUACUAUAGCUUGACACUGAACAUUGAGCCUUGAUGUGUAGGAUAGGUGGGAGGCUUUGAAGUGUGGACGCCAGUCUGCAUGGAGCCGACCUUGAAAUACCACCCUUUAAUGUUUGAUGUUCUAACGUGGACCCGUGAUCCGGGUUGCGGACAGUGUCUGGUGGGUAGUUUGACUGGGGCGGUCUCCUCCUAAAGAGUAACGGAGGAGCACGAAGGUUGGCUAAUCCUGGUCGGACAUCAGGAGGUUAGUGCAAUGGCAUAAGCCAGCUUGACUGCGAGCGUGACGGCGCGAGCAGGUGCGAAAGCAGGUCAUAGUGAUCCGGUGGUUCUGAAUGGAAGGGCCAUCGCUCAACGGAUAAAAGGUACUCCGGGGAUAACAGGCUGAUACCGCCCAAGAGUUCAUAUCGACGGCGGUGUUUGGCACCUCGAUGUCGGCUCAUCACAUCCUGGGGCUGAAGUAGGUCCCAAGGGUAUGGCUGUUCGCCAUUUAAAGUGGUACGCGAGCUGGGUUUAGAACGUCGUGAGACAGUUCGGUCCCUAUCUGCCGUGGGCGCUGGAGAACUGAGGGGGGCUGCUCCUAGUACGAGAGGACCGGAGUGGACGCAUCACUGGUGUUCGGGUUGUCAUGCCAAUGGCACUGCCCGGUAGCUAAAUGCGGAAGAGAUAAGUGCUGAAAGCAUCUAAGCACGAAACUUGCCCCGAGAUGAGUUCUCCCUGACCCUUUAAGGGUCCUGAAGGAACGUUGAAGACGACGACGUUGAUAGGCCGGGUGUGUAAGCGCAGCGAUGCGUUGAGCUAACCGGUACUAAUGAACCGUGAGGCUUAACCUU